AAUGAGAGUUUGAUCCUGGCUCAGGACGAACGCUGGCGGCGUGCCUAAUACAUGCAAGUAGAACGCUGAUGUUUGGUGUUUACACUAGACUGAUGAGUUGCGAACGGGUGAGUAACGCGUAGGUACCCUGCCUCAUAGCGGGGGAUAACUAUUGGAAACGAUAGCUAAUACCGCAUAAGAGUAAUUAACACAUGUUAGUUAUUUAAAAGGAGCAAUUGCUUCACUGUGAGAUGGACCUGCGUUGUAUUAGCUAGUUGGUGAGGUAAAGGCUCACCAAGGCGACGAUACAUAGCCGACCUGAGAGGGUGAUCGGCCACACUGGGACUGAGACACGGCCCAGACUCCUACGGGAGGCAGCAGUAGGGAAUCUUCGGCAAUGGACGGAAGUCUGACCGAGCAACGCCGCGUGAGUGAAGAAGGUUUUCGGAUCGUAAAGCUCUGUUGUUAGAGAAGAACGUUGGUAGGAGUGGAAAAUCUACCAAGUGACGGUAACUAACCAGAAAGGGACGGCUAACUACGUGCCAGCAGCCGCGGUAAUACGUAGGUCCCGAGCGUUGUCCGGAUUUAUUGGGCGUAAAGCGAGCGCAGGCGGUUCUUUAAGUCUGAAGUUAAAGGCAGUGGCUUAACCAUUGUACGCUUUGGAAACUGGAGGACUUGAGUGCAGAAGGGGAGAGUGGAAUUCCAUGUGUA
rnacentral:rRNA from 1 species